rnacentral:rRNA from 1 species
ACGGGAGACACACGGCGGGUGCUAACGUCCGUCGUGAAGAGGGAAACAACCCAGACCGCCAGCUAAGGUCCCAAAGUCAUGGUUAAGUGGGAAACGAUGUGGGAAGGCCCAGACAGCCAGGAUGUUGGCUUAGAAGCAGCCAUCAUUUAAAGAAAGCGUAAUAGCUCACUGGUCGAGUCGGCCUGCGCGGAAGAUGUAACGGGGCUAAACCAUGCACCGAAGCUGCGGCAGCGACGCUUAUGCGUUGUUGGGUAGGGGAGCGUUCUGUAAGCCUGCGAAGGUGUGCUGUGAGGCAUGCUGGAGGUAUCAGAAGUGCGAAUGCUGACAUAAGUAACGAUAAAGCGGGUGAAAAGCCCGCUCGCCGGAAGACCAAGGGUUCCUGUCCAACGUUAAUCGGGGCAGGGUGAGUCGACCCCUAAGGCGAGGCCGAAAGGCGUAGUCGAUGGGAAACAGGUUAAUAUUCCU